rnacentral:rRNA from 1 species
GAUGAACGCUGGCGGCGUGCUUAACACAUGCAAGUCGAACGAAGCGCUUUUAUUUGAUUUCUUUGGAAUGAAGAUUUUAGUGACUGAGUGGCGGACGGGUGAGUAACGCGUGGGUAACCUGCCUCAUACAGGGGGAUAACAGUUAGAACUGACUGCUAAUACCGCAUAAGACCACAGUACCGCAUGGUACAGGGGUAAAAACUCCGGUGGUAUGAGAUGGACCCGCGUCUGAUUAGGUAGUUGGUGGGGUAACGGCCUACCAAGCCGACGAUCAGUAGCCGACCUGAGAGGGUGACCGGCCACAUUGGGACUGAGACACGGCCCAAACUCCUACGGGAGGCAGCAGUGGGGAAUAUUGCACAAUGGGGGAAACCCUGAUGCAGCGACGCCGCGUGAGCGAUGAAGUAUUUCGGUAUGUAAAGCUCUAUCAGCAGGGAAGAAAAUGACGGUACCUGACUAAGAAGCACCGGCUAAAUACGUGCCAGCCGCCGCUGUAA